GGCGGGCUCAGGCCAGAGGACGCUAUAAAAAGUCCUCCGCUACCUUGGUCCAUUCACAACCCCACUCUGGAUUACCAAGCGGCUCCUCCUCUCGGACGACACAGCGGAGGAAUUCACCCCAGGGGGUCCGCGAACCAGCCCGACGUGAAACAAUGAAAAUGUCAGCGGCGGAGAUCAGCCAGGUGCUCAAGGAGGGAGAGCUGGAGAAAAGGAGCGACAACCUGCUCCAGUUCUGGAGGAGGAAGACGUGCGUCUUGACCACGGACAGCCUCAACAUUUACGGAGACACGCAGAAGCGCAACCGGGGCAAGGAGCUCAAGCUGCAGUCCAUCAAGAAGGUGGACUGCGUGGAGCGCACCGGCAAGUUCGUCUAUUUCACCAUCGUCACCACGGACAAUAAGGAGAUCGAUUUCCGGUGCCCCGGGGAGGAGAACUGCUGGAACGCGGUGAUCACCAUGGCUCUGAUCGAUUACCAGAACAGAAAGGCCAUCGAGGACUUUAAGACGCGGCAGGACAACGAGGGCGCGUCGCCCGGCCACCAGGAGCGGCGCAUGGCGAGGGCGCCCUGACGCGCCGCGGGGCCAAACCACUCCUAAUAUGGUGAGGGGGGCCUCCAUCACAUGUGUCCAACACGUGUCAAAAUGGACCAUAAGAAGCGGACCAAAAAGGAAGACGAGGUCACCCGGUCCGGAGAUGAAGGAUUGUUCGGGACUGCGCUCUCUGAGAGCGAUGACAACCGAUCUGAGGAGAGUUUCAGAAGCUCCACAAAACCAGACUGAGCUCUUGAAAAUUUUCCAAACUGUGUAAAGUUUGAUCUCCAGGGAGGAAUGACUCCUAAAAAAACCAUGAUGUUAAUUUAUUUGUCUCCAGAAUAUGUUGUUACUGGCAGACAGCUGGUGUUGUUUAAAUUAUUUACUGUUUCAACGUGUGUUGAGUGUAUUUAUUUGAAUAAAUAUUCAUGAAUUUUUAACAGAA